UACGUAGGGCGCAAGCGUUAUCCGGAAUUAUUGGGCGUAAAGAGCUCGUAGGCGGUUUGUCGCGUCUGCCGUGAAAGUCCGGGGCUCAACUCCGGAUCUGCAGUGGGUACGGGCAGACUAGAGUGUGGUAGGGGAGACUGGAAUUCCUGGUGUAGCGGUGGAAUGCGCAGAUAUCGAGAGGAACACCUGCGGCGAAGGCGGGUUGCUGGGCUGACACUGACGCUGAAGCGCGAAAGCUAGGGGAGCGAACGGG
rnacentral:rRNA from 1 species